rnacentral:lncRNA from 1 species
GAUGUUCCCAAUAAGUCACCCGCAGCACCAAGGGCGAAAACAGCUGGGGGUUUGGCAGAAGCCAAGGUGAAGGUUAACCAAUUCGCUGCCGUCUUAAGCAACCCCCGCCAACCGUGUCUCCCCUACCCCACCACUCUAGACCAAAUCCCAGAGCCUAAAAUAAAAGAACAGACUUCAUAUCGGUAAGAAAGUGGGGUUCCCCGCCCCCGGCUUUGUACCUCCAGUUUUGGGUUUGGUUUUUCUGGAAUGAGCACUGCCAUAGGAGUUGGGAGCUGAGCCCCAGUCUGCCACUGUUCCACACUUUGCCACUGUGAGCUAGUCAUUUUUGCUUUCUGGGCCUCAGUUUCUCCGUGUAAUGAAGACAAAUCUGCCUGCGCUGCGCUGGGGUGCAACUAGGAAUGAAGUAGGCAGGAUUCCAACUGAUCACUAGAGGAUGGCCCUCUUUCCUCAUCGUCUCUUCAUCUCUCCAGGUCAGCCUCAAGGGAACCCCCAAGGCUGCACCCCACUACUGCCAAAUGGCUCCGGCCACGACCACCUCUCAGAACCAGGCGGUGCCGGGCAUGCGGGGAACGGUGCUCUGGGCGGGACCAAGGCCCACCGGAAGUUGCAGACGCAUCCAUCUCUCGGCAGCCAGGCCGGAAGGAAGAGCAAAGGCAGCACCCGGUCAGCCUCACAGGUUCCCCUCCAGGCUCAGGAAGAUUGCUGUGUCCACUGCAUACUGUCCUGUCUCUUCUGUGAGUUCCUGACCCUCUGCAACAUCGUC